AUUGAACGCUGGCGGCAUGCUUUACACAUGCAAGUCGAACGGUAACAGGCCGCAAGGUGCUGACGAGUGGCGAACGGGUGAGUAAUGCAUCGGAACGUGCCCCGUCGUGGGGGAUAACGCAGCGAAAGCUGUGCUAAUACCGCAUACGAUCUAUGGAUGAAAGCGGGGGCCCGUAAUGCCUCGCGCGAUUGGAGCGGACGAUGCAAGAUUAGGUAGUUGGUGAGGUAAAGGCUCACCAAGCCAACGAUCUGUAACUGGUCUGAGAGGACGACCAGCAACACUGGAACUGUGACACGGCCCAGGCUCCUACGGGACGCAGCAGUGGGGAAUUUUGGACAAUGGGCGAAAGCCUGAUCCAGCAAUGCCGCGUGCAGGAAGAAGGCCUUCGGGUUGUAAACUGCUUUUGUACGGACCGAAAAGGUUUGGGUUAAUACCCUGGGCCGAUGACGGUACCGUAAGAAUAAGCACCGGCUAACUACGUGCCAGCCGCCGCCGUAA
rnacentral:rRNA from 1 species